rnacentral:rRNA from 1 species
UUCCAGACUCCUACGGGAGGCAGCAGUGGGGAAUAUUGCACAAUGGGGGAAACCCUGAUGCAGCGACGCCGCGUGAGUGAAGAAGUACUUCGUUACGUAAAGCUCUAUCAGCAGGGAAGAAAAUGACGGUACCUGAGUAAGAAGCCCCGGCUAACUAUGUGCCAGCAGCCGCGGUAAUACAUAGGGAGCAAGCGUUAUCCGGAUUUAUUGGGUGUAAGGGGUGCGUAGACGGGAAAUUAAGUUAGUUGUGAAAUCCCUCGGCUUAACUGAGGAACUGCAACUAAAACUGAUUUUCUUGAGUACUGGAGAGGAAAGUGGAAUUCCUAGUGUAGCGGUGAAAUGCGUAGAUAUUAGGAGGAACACCAGUGGCGAAGGCGACUUUCUGGACAGUAACUGACGUUGAGGCACGAAAGUGUGGGGAGCAAACAGGAUUAGAUACCCGCGUA